AGUGAACGCUGGCGGUAGGCCUAACACAUGCAAGUCGAACGGCAGCACAGAGGAGCUUGCUCCUUGGGUGGCGAGUGGCGGACGGGUGAGGAAUACAUCGGAAUCUACUCUGUCGUGGGGGAUAACGUAGGGAAACUUACGCUAAUACCGCAUACGACCUACGGGUGAAAGCAGGGGACCUUCGGGCCUUGCGCGAUUGAAUGAGCCGAUGUCGGAUUAGCUAGUUGGCGGGGUAAAGGCCCACCAAGGCGACGAUCCGUAGCUGGUCUGAGAGGAUGAUCAGCCACACUGGAACGGAGACACGGUCCAGACUCCUACGGGAGGCAGCAGUGGGGAAUAUUGGACAAUGGGCGCAAGCCUGAUCCAGCCAUACCGCGUGGGUGAAGAAGGCCUUCGGGUUGUAAAGCCCUUUUGUUGGGAAAGAAAUCCAGCCGGCUAAUACCCGGUUGGGAUGACGGUACCCAAAGAAUAAGCACCGGCUAACUUCGUGCCAGCCGCCACCGUAA
rnacentral:rRNA from 1 species